UCCAAUCCAGAUAUGAGAAUUGUCCUCUUGUUAGAGUGUGAGCAUCAUGCUAGAGAGUCUUAUUGAGGAGUUGUUAUUAUAGGUGGUGGACUGGUUAGGCUAGUACGCAGUGUCCAGCGGCAGGAACUCCGGCUAGCUUCGGUACAAACUGACCCCGGACCCCGGGUGCGGCGGCUCGGUGAUGAGGAGCGACUAAACCAGCCAUGUCCCCUUCCCCCUGUCACCAGUUUACGGUCGGAAACAGCUUGUCUUCCGUGGGAUGUGACAUUAUCGAGUGAUGGUCAAGAUGUAAAGAGUGAUACAAAGUUUCCAGCAGCACCAGCAACGCCGCACCGCGCAGUCGCACCAGCUCAGCGAAGAGAGGAGGGACUAAUGAUGCCUUCAAGCAAUGUCGGAAAUCUGCUGUUAACGUCUCGAAGACAUAUGACCCACCCAGCGAAAAACAGAAAGAAGGGCACAGUGGCAGCAAGGUGGUCCAGACAGCCCUCCCACUAGCAAUGUUUUCCAGCUCCUCCUGUGGGAGCCUGAGGCGUUCCCAAGCCAGAUGAGAUAUAUAAUCUCUCCAGUUUCUGUGUCUCCAACCAGUUGGAUGUGCCUGGAAAACCUCCAAAGGAAUGCACCAGUAAAUGUACUUGUCAGAUGCCCUGACCUCCUCAACUGGCUAUUUGUGAUGCAAGGAGGCAUCAGCUCCACUCAAGGUCAGGCCACCAUCAUCUGCCCACCAUCAUCUGCAAAAAGCAAAGAACCAUUUCCAAAGUCUCGAAACCGGACCCUCUCCUCCCUCUUGCUGCACCUUGAGAACCAUUCAAUUAAAACCGGAUUGGGGACAAGCAACAACACUGAGGCCAACAAGCAUUGAAGCUAUUCACAGCCAACAAGCAUUGAAGCUAUUCACAGCCAACAAGCAUUGAAGCUAUUCACAUCCUUCUGAGACACAUCUGGUACCCUAAACUUCCGCAAUACCCACCACAGAACAAACCCCAGCUACCACAAUUGUCUAAUUCAACCUAAGUCACCAAAACAUCUGUGAGUAAACUGCCAUGACCCCUUUAAUAACACUGUAAGGGUUAGAGCACUGGUCUACCUUUAUACAACCAAGAGAGAAUACUAACAGCUCGUCCUGGAUCUGAGGUUCGUGAUCGGCCAUAGCCUCUUUUCCACACCCUGUCCAACACUGAAGGGCACCGUUUUAAAAUCAGGGCUAUGCUAUUUGUAUACUCAUUUACAGCUUCACGUCAUUUGAUUAUUUGCAUAUUUGUUUGGGAAUUACCAUUUCCAAACAAAUAUGCUUGGAAAUGCAUAUUUUGACUCAAGCGCAUGUGCAUUUGAGUCAAAAUGCACAUGCUGCAUAAUCAUUUCUUACAUUAAAUUAAUUCAAAGGAUUGUCAAAAGGGGCCCACAGAUCAUUAAGCCCCCAAGCAAGUUUAAUCCAGUUAAAAAUACACCAUUUUAGCUAAUGAUGAGAUCAAUUUCCAUUUUCCACAGACACACAUCGAGUCUCGGCUGAAAUAAACGGUGCACCUUUAU